rnacentral:rRNA from 1 species
CCUACGGGUGGCAGCAGUGAGGAAUAUUGGUCAAUGGGCGGAAGCCUGAACCAGCCAAGUAGCGUGCGGGAUGAAGGCCCUACGUGUCGUAAACCGCUUUUGCACGGGGAUAACACCCUCCACUAGUGGAGGUCUGCAGGUACCGUGCGAAUAAGGGCCGGCUAAUUCCGUGCCAGCAGCCGCGGUAAUACGGAAGUCCCGAGCGUUAUCCGGAUUUAUUGGGUUUAAAGGGUGCGUAGGCGGGCGUUCAAGUCAGCGGUAAAAUCGCGAGGCUCAACCGCGGCGCGCAGUUGAAACUGGAGGCCUGGAGUUCACGACAGGCAGGCGGAAUGCGUGGUGUAGCGGUGAAAGGCAUAGAUAUCACGAGGAACCCCGAUUGCGAAGGCAGCCUGCCGGGGUGCGACUGACGCUGAGGCUCGAAGGUGUGGGUAUCAAACAGGAUUAGAUACCCCUGUAGUC